GGCUGGUCUGAAGGGAGUGAGUUAUCUCACUUGAUUGUUUACAGUCAGUUACAGAUUGAACUCCUUGUUUACUCUUUCUCCCUUUCUCACUACUGCACUUGACUGGUCUUAA
ensembl:misc_RNA Y_RNA Y RNA